GAUGAACGCUGGCGGCGUGCCUAAUACAUGCAAGUCGAGCGAAUGGAUUAAGAGCUUGCUCUUAUGAAGUUAGCGGCGGACGGGUGAGUAACACGUGGGUAACCUGCCCAUAAGACUGGGAUAACUCCGGGAAACCGGGGCUAAUACCGGAUAACAUUUUGAACCGCAUGGUUCGAAAUUGAAAGGCGGCUUGGGCUGUCACUUAUGGAUGGCCCCGCGUCGCAUUAGGUAGUUGGUGAGGUAACGGCUCACAAAGGCAACGAUGCGUAGCCGACCUGAGAGGGUGAUCGGCCACACUGGGACUGAGACACGGCCCAGACUCCUACGGGAGGCAGCAGUAGGGAAUCUUCCGCAAUGGACGAAAGUCUGACGGAGCAACGCCGCGUGAGUGAUGAAGGCUUUCGGGUCGUAAAACUCUGUUGUUAGGGAAGAACAAGUGCUAGUUGAAUAAGCUGGCACCUUGACGGUACCUAACCAGAAAGCCACGGCUAACUACGUGCCAGCCGCCGCUGUAA
rnacentral:rRNA from 1 species